GACGAACGCUGGCGGCGUGCCUAAUACAUGCAAGUAGAACGCUGAAGGAGGAGCUUGCUUCUCUGGAUGAGUUGCGAACGGGUGAGUAACGCGUAGGUAACCUGCCUGGUAGCGGGGGAUAACUAUUGGAAACGAUAGCUAAUACCGCAUAAGAGUAGAUGUUGCAUGACAUUUGCUUAAAAGGUGCAAUUGCAUCACUACCAGAUGGACCUGCGUUGUAUUAGCUAGUUGGUGGGGUAACGGCUCACCAAGGCGACGAUACAUAGCCGACCUGAGAGGGGGAUCGGCCACACUGGGACUGAGACACGGCCCAGACGCCUACGGGAGGCAGCAGUAGGGAAUCGUCGGCAAUGGACGGAAGUCUGACCGAGCAACGCCGCGUGAGUGAAGAAGGUUUUCGGAUCGUAAAGCUCUGUUGUAAGAGAAGAACGAGUGUGAGAGUGGAAAGUUCACACUGUGACGGUAUCUUACCAGAAAGGGACGGCUAACUACGUG
rnacentral:rRNA from 1 species